GCUAUGAUAUUGUACUACAAAGAUAAUGAUCCAUAGCCCUCGCAAAGGUGCCAAGGUCUCACCAGAAGUCCAUACACAUAGAGCAGGGAUAUACGUGAUUACCACAAGUAGAAAUACAUCAAGGUAUAGAGAGUUGACUCUACAUAGGAUGUGGUGGGCCCGAGUCACUUAGCCAGCUAAACAUCGAAACUUGUCUUCAAAAGAUAGAGCUCAGGUAUAUGGC
rnacentral:lncRNA from 1 species